AUGGAGCGCGCCUUGGCCCGCUGGCCUUGGCCGCAGCUCCUCGGGAGACCCGGGGCGCCCACGCGAGACUCUCCCCACCUGAGGGCACUAGGAGUUCGACCCCUGGAUGGCACCAGCGUCCAAAGCAGCCCCUGGCAGAGACCCCUUCCCCCCCCUGUGGACCAGGAUGACGAAGGACGAAGAGGACCAGGACCGACCACCCAGCUCUCCCUCUUGGCUAAAUGCUCAAAACCAAUGCCCUACGCUCCAGGCAGCCCCUCCCCACGGGGCUCUCCUUGCACCAGCCGGGCGCCUCCCAGGCCCCUCCUGUCCCCCUUUCCAGCCACGACAGCCUGUCUCUUUCCUUUCACAGCCAAGCUUCUCGAAAGGCCUGUCUACACUCGCUGUCUUCCUUCCUCACCUCCAAUUUUCUCUUCAACCCACUGCUUCCUGACUUGUUCUGCUCCGUCGAACGGCUCUCACUCAGGUAAUGACUUUUCUGUCGCUUAACUCUGGACACGUUUCCAACUCACGGACACACGGACACAUUUUCGUUCUUUCCCUCCCGUGGCGUUCGGCUCUGGUUCCCUUGUCGACACAUCCUCCCCAGACGCUUCACAGAAUCCCCUGGUCUUGGCUUCCCUCGUCUUAGUUUCUCCUAGGAACUGGACUAUUCACAUCUCUCUGGGAAACCUUCUCCUGCCCUCUUGCCGGGUUUGAGGCCUGACUAAGUCGCCUGGUGCUGAGGCCUUGGGGUUGGUCGGUUUUUCCCAAGCCACGUUUUUCUCGGUUAAGGAAUAGGGUUACUGAUCUUUCCCCAGCAGGUCAGGUGGGAUGUGUUGCAGGUAAGAACCGGGCACUAUUUGAGGGUCUUGAAAUAAUCAGUAAAGUGUUCGUGAGAAAAUUGGGAGUCCUCAUUAGCUUUUCUUACAGGUUAAGUUCCCACGGGGAGAACCAGAAAGGGAACAAAGGAGUGCGGGCGGGGUGGGGGGGGGGUGGAGAGUAGCCGAGAAAGACCAAAAAAAAAAAAAAAAAGAAAAAAAAGAAAACAACAACAAAAGAAAAGACACUGCAGGCACUAACAACAAAGUAGGGAAAGGAGACUUAGAAAACAGUAACGUCUCCCCAAAACCCCAUCCAGAGAAAGUUUUCCUCUCGGGUGGCUCGGGCUAAAAAAAGUAAACAGGAAAAAGGUUUUAAAUUGAUUAUCCCAGUGACAAAUCCCAGGAAGCUUUCAAAUCAAAUUGCCCCAUUUUAGGUUUUUAACUCCUUCUGUCAAGUUUAACCUCUUUACCUCCUGCAUCCUGGCGAAACCCUCCCCAGCCCCCCCUCGCUGGUGAUUAAAUCCCGAAGGUACACGCAGUCUUUCAGGGAGUGAAUGGCCCACAGAAAGAGCCCUCCCCCUCCCCCCAGCUGUGGUUUUCAGUUUUAUUCCACUUUCCGCCCUCUCCCCUUAAUGAACACAGGGCUAAUCUUGGGCCUUGUCAAGGAAGAGGCUGCAGACAUUAAU
rnacentral:lncRNA from 1 species